rnacentral:rRNA from 1 species
CCAUGCAUGUCUAAGUAUAAACGAUUUAAUCGUGAAACCGCGAAUGGCUCAUUAUAACAGCUAUAAUUUACUUGAUCUUGACACAAUCCUACUUGGAUAACUGUGGUAAUUCUAGAGCUAAUACAUGCAUUAAAGCUCUGACCUCACGGGAAGAGUGCAUUUAUUAUAACAAAACCAAUCGGCUUCGGCUGUUUCUGGUUGACUCAUAGUAACUGAGCUGAUCGCAUGGUCUUGCACCGGCGACGUGUCUUUCAAGUAUCUGCCGUAUCAACUUUCGAUGGUAGUGUAUCUGACUACCAUGGUGAUCACGCGUAACGGAGAAUAAGGGUUCGGCUCCGGAGAGUUCGCCUGAGAAAUCGCGAACACAUCUAAGGAAGGCAGCAGGCGCGAAAAUUACCCACUCUCAGCACGAGGAGGUAGUGACGAAAAAUAACGAGACCGUUCUCUUAUGAGGCCGGUCAUCGGAAUGGGUACAAUUUAAACCCUUAAC